AGUGGCGGACGGGUGAGUAAUGUCUGGGAAACUGCCCGAUGGAGGGGGAUAACUACUGGAAACGGUAGCUAAUACCGCAUAACGUCGCAAGACCAAAGAGGGGGACCUUCGGGCCUCUUGCCAUCGGAUGUGCCCAGAUGGGAUUAGCUAGUAGGUGGGGUAACGGCUCACCUAGGCGACGAUCCCUAGCUGGUCUGAGAGGAUGACCAGCCACACUGGAACUGAGACACGGUCCAGACUCCUACGGGAGGCAGCAGUGGGGAAUAUUGCACAAUGGGCGCAAGCCUGAUGCAGCCAUGCCGCGUGUAUGAAGAAGGCCUUCGGGUUGUAAAGUACUUUCAGCGAGGAGGAAGGCGUUGUGGUUAAUAACCGCAACGAUUGACGUUACUCGCAGAAGAAGCACCGGCUAACUCCUUGCCAGCAGCCGCGGUAAUACGGAGGGUGCAAGCGUUAAUCGGAAUUACUGGGCGUAAAGCGCACGCAGGCGGUCUGUCAAGUCGGAUGUGAAAUCCCCGGGCUCAACCUGGGACUGCAUCCGAAACUGGCAUGCUAGAGUCUUGUAGAGGGGGGUAGAAUCCAGGUG
rnacentral:rRNA from 1 species